GCAACAAAACUUCAACCCUCCUUUGCUGGCUUUCACCCCCUCAGGCUCCCUUCUCACAGUCCAGCAGCUUGGCUGAGACAGAGAAUGCCCAAAGAGCCUGGUACAUGACUGGAGAUGAAACUUAGGCUGCCCCACAGGGAGGCAGGGUCUUGGCAUUAGUGGGGCCCCAAGCCCUAGGUUCAGAGUCACUGCUCACCAAAGCCCCAACUUCUUCAUCCUAGGAAACAUCUCUGGAUUCAGAAUCAGAGGCAGCACUUCAAGUCUCGGUUCUACCACCUUCUGGCCACAGGAUCUGAGAACGGACGACCCACCCAGAAGGGCCAGAUCCAGAAGGCACAUUUCUGAGGCAACUCAGUGGGCUGGGAGAGGCGCCCUGCUGCCCCCCAAGGGGUGCUGAGGCUGUCGCUUGCCUGUAGUCUCUUUGAUGGCUUU
rnacentral:lncRNA from 12 species